CUGUUUGGGUGGAGGGAGGGAUAACUGCUAUCCUGUUUUGUUUUUUAUUCGUUUUUCCUUCUUUGGAUGUCUUCAGCAAAGAGUAAACUUUUGACCCCAUGAAACAUCAGCCACUUAAGUAAGCACCCCAGACAUUUCCAUACAUUCUUACUAGCCUAGGUUAUACACAUUAAAGCUCCUGUGAGGAACAUUAAAUUUGUGUCAAUUUUGUUGCCUCCUGUGGUCAAAGUAGUCCUUGCUUAUUGUCCUCAAGUAUUCCCUUCCAACGAAUAAUCUCAUUCUUCAAACUUUUGAUGGUCAAAUUUGUCACAUGUUGUAAAUAUUUGUUUUAAAAACUGUAAAAACAUGUCUGUUUCUGCAGCAAUUUAACUGACAGCUACCCGCUUGCACCCAUUGCUAACUUUUAUCACAAGAAGCACAUGUGCUCCUAAGUUUAAAAAGUAAGGAGCACACAAAGAACUUUAGAGGCACAAAAUUGAAAAUUGAUCAAAUAAUGUGUGUCUUAUUGUUCAACAUAAGUAAUAUUAUUUGAAAUCAAUUUUAGGUCAGCUGGUCACAUGACAUGGAAGCUAUUGAAGGAAAGGUUCAAAAUUUGCUUUUCAAUUUAACACACAAACAUUUUUAGAGGACAAAUUAGGGAAGUAAAGAGGUGUGUCUCAUUGUCUGAUCUUAGUACUAUUAUUUGAAAUCAAUUUGAAGUCAAUUGACAUGGAAGCCAUUGAAGGAAAACAGCUUGUUUUGAGAACAUCAACCAGUAAUUUAUUGAUGGUCCCUUAGUCAACACCUAACAUUGACAGCGAGGGUGCAGAGUAGCUUUAACCGCACUGCUGUUGCUAUUCCUGGUUACGGAGAGUGAGAAAACACGGUAGAUCCGCCAUGAAUGUCCGUCAGAUAUCCAACCUAAAACUAACUUCACUGCGGUAUUUACAGGGAAAAAUAUUUGUUGCCUCGCCUGAUUUUUUUUAUCUGCACAUGUGCCCCUAAAUACAUUUUACAAUUUGCACACAUCUACUUUUAGUUGCAAAUGCGAGUGAAACGGUCACACUGUCGAGCCCUGACAAUAUUAACAUCAUUAAUCUUGUCUUUGAUUGUUUUCUUUGCUUUUGUAGACCAUGAAAAGGUAUCAAUAUAAUCUUCAGCUGAUUUCACAAACAUCAAAUAUAUUUGUAAAAAUGGAUUUCAGGGUUAUCACUGAGGUAGCUCAAUCGAUUUUAGGGGGGAUCAUGGGCACCUCUGACCAUCCCUCGACUCCGGCCCUGCAUCCAUAUCCAUCUAUCUAUCUAUCUCUCUGUCUGUCUGUCUGUGUGCCGCGUGUUGUAAGGGAUAGCCUCCUCUCGGUCUCCUCAUUAUUUACCGUUUUUUUGCACCAUACAAUUUAGCAAUGUGCGCGCGGCUCGGGGCGAAUAAUUACGGAGUCAAGGUAAACGAUUUGGGCUCCAGUUCUGAUUGUGAUAAUUGUCCAAAACCCCUUCGAAUCAAGCAAGCGCAGUCAAUGGUCGUUAAUGUGAAAUUAGUGGCUCUUGAUAACUCGCAGGCCGCAUCAAUUCCGCAGUCAUCAGCGUCUAAUGAAAAUAAGAGGGGAGAGAGCGCGCGCGGCAUUAGUGGCCUAUUCUGAUGGCCGCGCGCUGCUCCAGCGGUAAAUCUGGACUCUGGCCUCUGUGUUUCCUCUCUAUGCACGUGGCAGCGGCAGCUCAUUAACUCUUCUUCUCCUGACCAGAGUUCAUCUAAUUGUUCAGAUGUUCUCCAUUCCUCCGUGAUUCUCUAGUGUGGCUCUCAAAAAGGCGUGAUUACAACCCAAACCCGGCAUGAUCCUCUGUGUGUGUGUGUGUGUGUGUGUGUGUGUGUGUGUGUGUGUGUGUGUGUGUGUGUGUGUGUGUGUGUGUGUGUGUGUGUUUGUGUGUGUGCUUUUAUCCGUUUGUGAUGUUAUAAAUGUCCACGUGGUCAGACUUAAACUUUUAAAAAAUAUCAUACAACUCUAAAAGGUCAAGUUUACUAUUAUUAUUAUUAUUAUUAUUAUUAUUAUUAUAAGACGUAGGUUAUCUUCUCAGGUGAAUGUCAAUGUAUAUUAGUAAGACAAAUCUUUGGAUGUCUCCUAAUCAGCAGAGCAGAUAUGCUGGUAGAGAUGGCCCUGACAGAAAAUGCCUUCAUUACCAUGUGAUAGAGAAACCAAGAGGACAAAAUCACUAAUUAGCCUUCAUCCAUAAAUUAGGCUGGAUGAUGGUGAUGAUGAUGAUGAUGAGAGCCCUUCAGUGGUUGAGGCAGAUUGAGUCCAAGGAGCUCCUCUUGAUUUAGACUACAGCAUAACCAUGCAGCAAUGAAGACAAUGGUCUGUAAAGAUAGCUACAUAAAUAAAUAAAUACAAACUUAUUGAUUUUUUUGGAGAGAGAAGACACAGGAUGUUGGAUUUUGACCCUUAAAAUGUAAUCAUACCAUUUUGACUGUCAAAAAAGCAGACAUUCCUGCAAAUCAUACUCAUUGUACGCGAUAAUUGUGGUUAUUUAUAAGGCAUCUAUAUUGGGUGCAUUUUUUAAAUAGAGAUCUCUAUUUUGUUGUCUGUAAUCUGGAAAGACAUCAGUGCUUUGUAGUUUAGUCCAGUGGUUACCAACACAGGGCUUGGACCACUUGCGUAAGGGAUACUAUAAAUCUGGGUGCUCUGAAAUGAUGAAAAACAUUACAAUGCUCCAUUAAACAGAGUUUUUGUUGAUAGGCUCCUCUGUUUUUGUUUUGUUUUUUGUACGUCGAGCAGUCCUUUUUUGGUGCCAAACUGAAGUCAUUCAGAAAGUUAAAGGGAAAAUCUUGCUUGUUGCAAAUGCUUUGGCCACCCAGUUUAAAAUCAUUAUUAGACAUGCUAUUAAAUCUGCAGAAAAUUGUUUAUCUAAUACACUAAAAAUGAAAAAAACAGGCCAUUUCUAAUAAAUGGAAAUACUUAAGGCAAUGGAGGUAACUACCACUAAAAGCUAUGCAAGACAACAUUCAUUAAGAUUUAAAUCCUACAAAACAAAGUUUGCUCAUUUUUGUUUUAAAUGAGUUGAAAUGUUUCUCAAUUUAUGUUUGAUUCAGUCAGCUUAUAACUCUGAGGCAGCCAGGUACUAUGUUUCUAAAUGUAAAAAGGCAAACAAGUUUCUUUAAAAAAAAAAAGUAUUGGGUUUUUGCAUAAGAAUGUCUUUGUGAAUCCUGAAGUUAUGAUUAUUUCAUUCCUGCACCUGUAAUGUCACUUAAAAAUCAUUUCCCUGACUCUGUGUUCUGAGUCCUGUCCCUGCCUGUGCAAAGUCUACGGCCGGACCCUCACAAAGGGGUUAACUCAGACAGCUUUAGCCUUAAACUUGGCUCUUGGCGUGGGGAGAGAAAAUAGCUGUAAAGUUAUGCAGAAGUUAUUCUUCAUCCUUCGGGCCGUCCCUAAUCCGCCAAAAACCUCAUUCUUUCAUCGGAGAACUGUGCCUCCUUUCUUGUUCGCCCCUCUCUAUACAACAUAAAGUCAGACUGCAUUUAAUGGUUAUGUCGGGAUGGGAGAGGGGCUUUCUUCUUCGUCUUUUCUGCAGAAUAUUGCCCUUUUCGUCGUGUGAGUCUCCCAGCCUGCGGGGACCCCCAUAUUCUUCCCUCCGCGUCUGACUCGAAUCACAAACUAACCCUGAUUUUCACCACUGUGCUGGGAAUCGCGGCCACUGAUAAUAGAGAUUUCGCUUUCAUUUUAUACGCUUGACUUGGUUAUUGUUGCUUUUCUCCUCUCCCGUGAUUCUCUCCUUCUGCGGGGAUUAGCCCUGACUUCGCCCGCUAUACUGGCCGCCGAAGUGCCCCUGAGCCCCGGGAUGACAAUUGACGCAGAUCAAGGCAGGCCCAUUCUGUGCCUUUGAAAGGGGCCGACCCGGGCUGAGUGAAAAUGAAGGAGUCUCAAAGGAGUAAUCGGAUGCUUCCCAUACAUUAACAGCUCGAUUUAUCCAGGAGUUUUUGUUCAAAUGCGCAAAAGUGUCAAACAUUUAUAAGGGCUUUUUAUUCCCUCUGCACAGUUGUAUAGACUGCACGAUGAAGAUGAUAAAAAUGAUGAUGGUAAGAGUGAGGUCAGAGGAGAUGAUGAAGGUCCUGUUGAUGGUAAUGUCAAGGGUGAUCAUUGGGCAGUGAUGCUAAGUAUGAUCUGUAGGAUGAUGAUGGAGAGGCAGUUGUGAUGAUUAAAUGGCAGCACAUUGAGUGUAAGUACCGAUACUGAUGAUGAAGAUGCUGAUGACAGUAUUAUGUAUGAUGAUGGCAUUGGGGGUGGAUGGUGUUUAGGAUGAGGUUGGGGGAGAUUUCCAAGAUGAAAAUGGGGGACAAGAGAAAGGUGCUGCAGCUAAAGAUGAAGAGAAAUGGGGAAGAGGAUGGUCAAGAUGACAUCUAACUCAGUCAUUUAGCUUGAAAGACAAGGUUACUUGUAUAAAAGUUUAUGAAAUAGACUGAAAACUGUAUAGAUGCCUUUUUGUGACAUCUAAAAGCAGACAAGGUCAUCAGGUACUAGAUUGGCAAUACUCCAAAAGGCAUUAUUAAUGCUUGAAAUUGGUGAAAUCGAUAGGUGUCAGCUGAGCACCUGGAGGAACCACCCUGUUUUAACCAUUUCCACAUAGAAUAUUCACAAUAAACAACACAUUUGACAGUCAAGAGUCAGCUAAGUGAGAUUUUUGUUAAAGAUCACUACCCACACAUGCAAUGACAAGAUGAGCAAAGACUACUGUGCCACAGGGGGCGCCAAAACUGACACAAACAGAAAGUUCCUCCCAGGAGGUUUAAGCUCGAUGAGAGUAUAUGGGUUCAGUUUCAAAUGUCUGUGAGCUCUUAGAAGCUCUAUGUAGGUGAAGUUUCCUCUCUUAACCUUUCAGAUGGCCAUCAGCUGCAACAGUUAGUUAAAAUUAACAACACGUUGGGGCUAUGUACAUCUGUUUUUAAAAUGUGCACACAUAAUGCUACAUCUAACAAAUUCCAUUAGAAGGGUAUAAUCGCACAAGGAAAAUUUUGGCAGAAAGGGCACCUUUACAUGUGUGGACAAUUUCUCUGUUGUACUAUGAGGGCCUGUGCCCACCAGGGGUGGGAAUCACUAGUGGCCCCACAAUACAAUAUUAUCACAAUACUUGGGCCAAGAUAUGAUAUUAUUGCGAUUUUUAACAUUUUACAAUACAGUGAGUGUUGCAAUACAAUAUGUUGCGAUUUAUACAAUUUUUUUAACUGUUUAGCUACUUUAGUGUAUGACUUUCCUUUACAUUUGUCUUAUUUACACAGUAUUUUAUUUUCAUGUAGCACAUCUUGCAAACCUUAUAUAUAUAUAUAUAUAUAUAUAUAUAUAUAUAUAUAUAUUUGUUGUACUAACUUUCUCCUAUUCUAUGAUAUCACCUCUGCCAAUCUCACUAGAAAAACUGUUGAUUUUACUUUUCCAUUAUCAUAGAUUUUACUGCAUAUUAUCAAUUGGUUUGAAAAAUCGAUAUUUGGUAAAUGAGACAAUAGGAUAUAUCAGACACCAGACAUAUCUGCUGCAUAUUUGCACAGCACUAUUAAACAGGUUUUACAAAGAAAACAUGUAAUAGUAUCAGGAGCAGCUCUUGACCUAAAAAUAAGACACUCAACAAAAGGAGUGUGCACAGUCCUCCACCAUGGUUGUUGACAUGUUGAUAUCAGAAGUCCUGCCCCUCCUUGAAAUUUGAGUGUUCAGUAAUGGAAAACUCACUGUGACGAUGGGGGUGUUUCAUCAGCUCACUGAGUGUACAUUUAUGAAAGAAAAUACAGCUGACAGUGAAGGUGUAUUCAUAUAUAGGAUAUAAGACUCUGAAAACUUUAAACUGCAUAAAAGAGGUCCCAAAAGCAAAAAAAGUGAUUGGUGGACAUAGGCCCUUACUCUCCUUUGAUGAAUUUUCUGAUUGUGUCAACUUUGGCACUCCCUUGAACGAAGUAGUAGCUUACAUCAUACUUUGAUAUUGAAUUUGUCCUGUUUGUGUGUUAGAGGUGUUUUUUAGAGACAACAUGUGCUUUUUUUCAAUUAGAUAAAACACCAGUAGGAAUCUUUUUCAUAGAAAAAGUUAUGUCUGUUUCCAUCUCAAGUGUCUUGUAAAAAAAAAAGAUGAUUUAACUCCUACCUUGCAGCAGAAGUUCCAGGCUUUAAGAUCACAGUGUAGACGCAAAAUUCAUCUCUGUGACUAUCUUUGAUUUUGCAGACCAUACAGUGGCAGUUGUAAUGAUUUAAGUCUGUUUCUAAAAAGCCUAAAAACUCCUCACAGACGCGUUAAGUUAGGUAAGAUGUUCAAUGCAACACUUUGUUUACACAGUGGUGCCACUUCAGUAAAAACUUGGAUAUUUCUUCAACUUGAUAGGAGCAAAAAAGAGAAAACUUUCUGUUUGUUCUGCAGGUUUUGCAGCUCUACAGGUGUCUAUAUCUCAUCCCUGCAACAGUUGAAACAGCCUGACUGUGCAGAUCUGCUCAUCACUGGCACGUCACACACCAGAGGCUCUCCUGUAUUUGCUGUGUCUCCUCCAAUCAGGCAUCUCUGCAGCGCUGUGAGAAGUUAAUCUGUGUUGAUGGUGUGUUGUGCACUCUUCCGUGGGUCUGUUCGGGCUGGGAUUUCUCCUGGAAAGCCGGGUCUGCGCUCAUAUAGAGAGCAGGGGGGAUAAUUACCAAACACGCAGCCGACAGCAGCCACACAAAAGCCGCUUUGACUUCCUCACUGCUGGUCGCCUCCAGGGGACGGUCCCGCUCCCUGCUUGCCCCGCACACCCAGCUCCCCCAGACCACUUCUCAUCACUCCUGAGAGGCACAGACGUCUUGUUCCAUAACAAGACAUGAAACUGACUUCUUUCAGCUCCACUGAACUGGACAUAAACCCCGACUGACAACCUCCAGUGCCC
rnacentral:lncRNA from 1 species